rnacentral:rRNA from 1 species
UACGUAGGGUGCGAGCGUUAUUCGGAAUUACUGGGCGUAAAGCGUGCGCAGGCGGUGAUGUAAGUCAGAUGUGAAAUCCCCGGGCUCAACCUGGGAACUGCAUUUGUGACUGCAUCGCUGGAGUGCGGCAGAGGGGGAUGGAAUUCCGCGUGUAGCAGUGAAAUGCGUAGAUAUGCGGAGGAACACCGAUGGCGAAGGCAGCCCCCUGGGGUAACACUGACGCUCAUGCACGAAAGCGUGGGGAGCAAACAGG